GCUGGCGGCAGGCCUAACACAUGCAAGUCGAGCGGUAGAGAGAAGCUUGCUUCUCUUGAGAGCGGCGGACGGGUGAGUAAAGCCUAGGAAUCUGCCUGGUAGUGGGGGAUAACGUUCGGAAACGGACGCUAAUACCGCAUACGUCCUACGGGAGAAAGCAGGGGACCUUCGGGCCUUGCGCUAUCAGAUGAGCCUAGGUCGGAUUAGCUAGUUGGUGAGGUAAUGGCUCACCAAGGCGACGAUCCGUAACUGGUCUGAGAGGAUGAUCAGUCACACUGGAACUGAGACACGGUCCAGACUCCUACGGGAGGCAGCAGUGGGGAAUAUUGGACAAUGGGCGAAAGCCUGAUCCAGCCAUGCCGCGUGUGUGAAGAAGGUCUUCGGAUUGUAAAGCACUUUAAGUUGGGAGGAAGGGCAUUAACCUAAUACGUUAGUGUUUUGACGUUACCGACAGAAUAAGCACCGGCUAACUCUGUGCCAGCAGCCGCGGUAAUACAGAGGGUGCAAGCGUUAAUCGGAAUUACUGGGCGUAAAGCGCGCGUAGGUGGUUUGUUAAGUUGGAUGUGAAAUCCCCGGGCUCAACCUGGGAACUGCAUUCAAAACUGACUGACUAGAGUAUGGUAGAGGGUGGUGGAAUUUCCUGUGUAGCGGUGAAAUGCGUAGAUAUAGGAAGGAACACCAGUGGCGAAGGCGACCACCUGGACUAAUACUGACACUGAGUGCGAAAGCGUGGGGAGCAAACAGGAUUAGAUACCCUGGUAGUCCACGCGUAACGAUGUCACUAGCGUUGGGAGCUUGAGCUCUAGUGGCGCAGCUACG
rnacentral:rRNA from 1 species